ensembl:processed_transcript Gm10044 predicted gene 10044
CGCCUCUGCUUCUGCUUCUGCUUCUGAUGCUUCAGCGGCUGCGGCAGCUGCUUCCGCUUCCGCCUCUGAUGCCUCUGCUGCUGCUGCUGCUGCGGCAGCUGCUUCUGCUGCGACAGCUGCUUCUGCUGUGGCCUCCUCCAAAGCUACUGUUAAUGCUGUGGUGGCUGCUGCUGUCACUGCUGCUUUCGCAGCGGUUACUGCUACUGCUGACAUCAAAGGCAGUGAACCAACUCCUCAAAGGCACAGUGGGGCUACUAAUGACAAGGAUUUCGCACUUAAGGCAAAAGAAGAACAUGAUAAGAGAGAACCUGCCACACAUUUGAUGAAAAUGAACAGAAGUGAAAAUAAAGGCUAUUUUCCGGGAGAUUCCAUGGCAACGUUUGAGAAGUGUGCUGCAGACACAAGUGCUGAGCCACCAGUGAAGCAGAGCUGUGCUCGCCAACUCCAUCAGGACGGACAAAGGUAACAGGGAGAUGCUUUGUUCCCUGUACAGUGAGUACUUUUUAUGGAAAUAAAACAGCUGACUAGAGUAGUCACUCAAAGCAGAGGGACACUCAGCUGUACCUACACUGCUGGAAGGCUGAGAGAGAUUGGGACUGACUCACAAGUACUCUUUAUGGAAGCCCAACAGCUCAGAGAGUGUUUACUCA